AAUGGCUCCUGCAAAGAAGGGUGGCGAGAAGAAGAAGGGGCCAUUCUGCCAUCAAUGAGGUGGUGACCCGAGAAUACACCAUCAACAUUCACAAGCGCAUCCAUGGCGUGGGCUUCAAGAAGCGUGCUCCUUGGGCACUCAAAGAAAAUUCAGAAGUUUGCCUUGAAGGAAAUGGGAACACCAGAUGUGCGCGUUGACACCAGGCUCAAUAAAGCCAUCUGGGCCAAGGGAAUAAGGAACAUUCCAUAGUGCAGAAAACGUAACGAGGAUGAGGAUUCCCCAAACAAGCUUUACACGCUGAUAACUUACGCGCCUGUUACCACAUUCAAAAAUCUAC
rnacentral:lncRNA from 1 species